rnacentral:sRNA from 12 species
CCUGUGGAGUGUUAUAUCAAAUGUUAGUAGUAUAUCGUAAGGUUACGAGGACAGACACGUUGAAACAGGAA